GGCCGCCUGGCCGCGGGAUUGAGUUUGAUCCUGGCUCAGAUAACGCUGGCGGCGUGCCUAACACAUGCAAGUCGAACGUCUCUUUCUUCGGGAAGAGGAGUGGCGGACGGGUGAGGAACACGUGGGAACCUGCCCUUUAGUGAGGAAUACCGGCGAGAAAUCGCCGACAAGACCGCAUAGCCCUCUUUGAUGAGAGUCAAAGAAGGAAAGCUUCGCAAGAGGCGCUAGAGGAGGGGCCUGCGUCCGAUUAGCUAGUUGGUGGGGUAAGAGCCUACCAAGGCGUCGAUCGGUAGCUGGUCUGAGAGGACGAUCAGCCACACUGGGAUUGAGAACGGCCCAGACUCCUACGGGGGGCAGCAGUGAGGAAUUUUCGGCAAUGGGGGAAACCCUGACCGAGCAACGCCGCGUGCAGGAAGACGGCCUUCGGGUUGUAAACUGCUUUUCUUUGGGACGAGAACGGACGGUACCAGAGGAAUCAGCCCCGGCUCACUACGUGCCAGCAGCCGCGGUAAUACGUAGGGGGCGAGCGUUGUCCGGAGUGACUGGGCGUAAAGGGCCCGCAGGCGGUGACGCGCGUUUUGAGUGACAGCUCCCGGCUUCACUGGGAGAGUAUUCAGAAGACGGCGUGACUUGAGGGUGAGAGAGGGACACGGAAUUCCGGGUGUAGUGGUGAAAUGCGUAGAUAUCCGGAGGAACACCGAAGGCGAAGGCAGUGUCCUGGCUCAUACCUGACGCUGAGGGGCGAAAGCUAGGGGAGCGAACGGGAUUAGAUACCCCGGUAGUCCUAGCCGUAAACGAUGACCACUAGGUGUGCGAGGUAUCGACCCCUUGCGUGCCGUCGCAAACGCAAUAAGUGGUCCGCCUGGGGAGU
rnacentral:rRNA from 1 species